rnacentral:rRNA from 1 species
GAUGAACGCUGGCGGCGUGCCUAAUACAUGCAAGUCGAGCGAACAGAUCAGGAGCUUGCUCCUUAGACGUUAGCGGCGGACGGGUGAGUAACACGUGGAUAACCUACCUAUAAGACUGGGAUAACUUCGGGAAACCGGAGCUAAUACCGGAUAACAUAUUGAACCGCAUGGUUCAAUAGUGAAAGGCGGCUUUGCUGUCACUUAUAGAUGGAUCCGCGCCGGAUUAGCUAGUUGGUAAGGUAACGGCUUACCAAGGCAACGAUACGUAGCCGACCUGAGCGCGUGAAGGGGCACUCUGGAGCUGAGAGACGGUCCAGACACCGAGGUGAGGCAGCGGUAGGGAAGGGUCCGAAAUGGGCGGAAGCCUGAAGGAGCAACGCCAGGUGGAUGAUGAAGGUCUUCGGAGCGGAAAACGCUGUUAGCAUGGAAGAACAAAUGUGUAAGUAACUGUGCACAACGUGACGGUACCUGGUCAGAAAGCCACGGCUAACUACGUG